rnacentral:rRNA from 1 species
AGAGUUUGAUCCUGGCUCAGGAUGAACGCUAGCGGCAGGCCUAACACAUGCAAGUCGAGGGGCAUCGGGAUUGAAGCUUGCUUCAAUUGCCGGCGACCGGCGCACGGGUGCGUAACGCGUAUGUAACCUACCUAUAACAGGGGCAUAACACUGAGAAAUUGGUACUAAUUCCCCAUAAUAUUCGGAGAGGCAUCUCUCCGGGUUGAAAACUCCGGUGGUUAUAGAUGGACAUGCGUUGUAUUAGCUAGUUGGUGAGGUAACGGCUCACCAAGGCAACGAUACAUAGGGGGACUGAGAGGUUAACCCCCCACACUGGUACUGAGACACGGACCAGACUCCUACGGGAGGCAGCAGUGAGGAAUAUUGGUCAAUGGACGCAAGUCUGAACCAGCCAUGCCGCGUGCAGGAAGACGGCUCUAUGAGUUGUAAACUGCUUUUGUACGAGGGUAAACUCACCUACGUGUAGGUGACUGAAAGUAUCGUACGAAUAAGGAUCGGCUAACUCCGUGCCAGCAGCCGCGGUAAUACGGAGGAUUCAAGCGUUAUCCGGAUUUAUUGGGUUUAAAGGGUGCGUAGGCGGUUUGAUAAGUUAGAGGUGAAAUGUUAGGGCUCAACCCUGAAACUGCCUCUAAUACUGUUGAGCUAGAGAGUAGUUGCGGUAGGCGGAAUGUAUGGUGUAGCGGUGAAAUGCUUAGAGAUCAUACAGAACACCGAUUGCGAAGGCAGCUUACCAAACUAUAUCUGACGUUGAGGCACGAAAGCGUGGGGAGCAAACAGGAUUAGAUACCCUGGUAGUCCACGCAGUAAACGAUGAUAACUCGUUGUCGGCGAUACACAGUCGGUGACUAAGCGAAAGCGAUAAGUUAUCCACCUGGGGAGUACGUUCGCAAGAAUGAAACUCAAAGGAAUUGACGGGGGCCCGCACAAGCGGAGGAACAUGUG